rnacentral:tRNA from 1 species
GGCUACGUAGCUCAGCUGGUUAGAGCACAGCACUCAUAAUCCUGGGGUCACAGGUUCGAUUCCCGCCGUAGCCACCA